rnacentral:hammerhead_ribozyme from 1 species
AUUCAGCUGACGAGUCCCAAAUAGGAUGAAACGCGCGUCUUAGAU